UUUCAGCUCUGCCCAAACUUGAAAACGGCUUGCUCAACCCGUGAAGGAUGCAAAGGGACAACUCAAUUCCUUUCCAGUGUUUUAUUAUGGUUUUGAUGCCAUUUGUUGAAUAUGUUGAAACAGUUGAUUUGUUGAAUAGAGUAGUUGAAUGACAGAGGAAUAAGGAAUAGGAAUAUGGAAUAGCAAUAGGUUGAUAACCUUAAACAGAGAAUAAACAUGCAUUAUUUUACACUAAACAAUGCAUGACACAGCAACAAAGCAUGGCUUUGAAUAAAGUAAACGUUUAAACAAUUUAAUCUAGCACUUCUAGCAAUUACUUCUGCAGUCAGAAAAUAUCCACAACAAAAGUCAACACUCCUACCAGAGUUAAACAUGUAAAUUGUGCUAAGCACUGGAUGCAACAUAAUAAAUAAUUCCAAACAUUACAUACCAGUUGCGUCUUUAGGGUUGAACAAUGAGCUGUGUAUAUGUUGAGGACCAAACAUUUUAUACCCAUGCUUAUCUGCCAGGUGCACAUGUAAAAGUAGUCCCUCCAGAAAUCCUGGCUCAAUUUUUUUAUUUCCACCCGUGUUUUUGGGUUAUCUGCCCUCUUGAGGCCUGGAGGUCUUUAAAGGAAGAGCUGCCCUUUUGCUCAUGUUUUGAGUGCUCUGUUUUGUGACGCAACAGUCUCCUUGUCCAGCACGCUGUUUUUCAAAAAAGGUGUUUCUUGAUUGCUCCAACUCUGUGUCUGUGUAUAAGACAUACUGUGGGCUGACAAGCUGUACGGUUCUGGUGGCACCAUGUUGGUCUCUUGGGUUUGGAGAGGAGUGGGGGGAUGGAGGGGACAGGAGGAUGGAAUCACAGGUCCCAGAGGAGGUGCCUGGUCUACACAGGUCUGAUUCUUGACCCUGUAUAAGACAUAUAUUUAUCCAAUAGUAAUUAUAAAAGCAAAGAACACCACACUGUAACAACAACCUAACAGCAAACACCAAAACAAGUACAUCUGUAGAUACAUGUAUUGUAAUGAUGGCCAGGAAAUGCUACUUUGAUAACAGGAAACACUGUUUGCAUGGUUAGAUUAAAUGUCUCCCAAAUGUCCAAUUCUAACAUUAUGUCAUUUUCACCAUGAGUAAAUCUCCAAAUGGUUCUCCUUCUGAAGAAGUGCUCUGGCCCGGGAAAGAGAUCACGUAAAUCCUCAUUAGAGAGGCUAGGCAGCAUGUCUGUGCUUAUAUUAGCAGCUGAAAAACACAUGUAACCACAUGGUAAAUAGUUAAGUAAUUAGCAACUAAAUCAUAGUCUAUAGACGCAAAGUGUCAGGUUGAUAUAGGUUAUGAGACAUUAGCAUACUGUCUUCCCUUUCCAGUUAAUGCAGGAAUGAUUUACCAAGCUAGCUAAUGUUAGCUAACAAAAUUAGACUACCAGUAUAUCAUUAACGUUGACGUCAAUUACUUUAAACCAAAAGAUUGUGCAAGCUAAUGAAACUAACGUUAACGUUAAAUUGUCUCUCAUAUUGAAAAUCUUAGUUCAUCUUUGCUUGCCUAGCUAAGAUUGUAGACAAUGACUGACACCAUCGAUAAUUUCGCUUCGCCGUCUUUGGCGCCAUUUCUAUUUAUUUUCUUUUGUUAAUAGAAAGGGCGCCAAAGACUGCGAAGCUAAAUAAUCGACAGUGUCAGUCAUUAGGUCACAUUUACACCUCAUUAACACUAUUUCUGGCAAUAAAGCACCCUCAAUCUAACCAAAGUUCAAUUUCUUUCAACGAAUGGUCGUUCAUGCAGUUAUUAACUGCUAAAAGUCAACGUUACCUAGUUAAAAUUAGCAUGCUAACUUUGUUUACCAACUUUCCAAUUCAAAUUAACGUUAGCUAACGUUAGCUUGCUAAGGAGAAAGGUAGAAGGGUAUAAACAAAUGAACAUUACCUUUUAAUACUGAGGUUGAUAUAUGGUCUAUGCCUGGAUAUGUGUAAUCCAUUCCAUCUUCAUUCAUGGUGUUGUUAGAUGACUCAAAGAUUUGCACCGUAUUUGACUUUUUAGUUUUUUAGGCCUCCCUUAUUUAGCUAGAUAAUGUGAUGAACGUACGUCAGUUAAGCAAUAUCACAUGAGAGGGAGUGCUGAAUAUUAGCACGGCUGUGAUUCGGCCGUAGGUACGAGGCCGCAGGCCAAAGAUAAUAAUAUUCAGUAUAACAGCACGACCUCGAGUGUGAUAUUGCUUUUAUACAACAGUUCUACAAGCGCAAUUUAUUAGUUAACAGUAAUAAGCGACAACAGCUUUAUUUAUUUAUUUCAUAAUUUAUUUGGCUCCGCCAACACACACACAGUUCUCCAACUGGUCUGGGACUGGACUGUUGCCAAACACCACAUAUACAUUUUCCUACACACUAGCUUGUUACUGCUACUUUGUGUAGUUCUACACGUUACCGUCCUCUCCUGACGACCAUUCAUAAUUUAACUCAAAUGUUAUUUGUGGAAAUAUGUUCAUAUUUGCGGUGCAAAGUUUGUUACAAUUUAAGAUGGAUAACGAUCGUUAAUGUAAUUUACCUUUAUUAGAACACCUGUAAAGCAGAGUGAUACAUGUAUAGUUAAAAGUCCCAGUGCUGUUGUUCUCUACUCCAAUCAAAUUACUUUGUCAUAUUAUAAAUACUUAUGAACAUAAUUUUCAGUUCUUUCCGCCGUUUUCAUCGAAAGCAGUGGGAACGUUUUACUUGCGUUUGCGUUUAGUAACGUUCAAGAUGCUUUGACGGUGCGUUAUCUGCUGUGUUUUUAUUACUUUUUCAUUGAAAUUGUUAUUGAGCCAUAUCAAUAGAUUGCACAGUCGCAGCCCUGAUUUCUGGUUGCUCUGUGGUAUUGACGUAUGCACUGAGGAAUAUAGAGUGUUGUCACGCCCUGGCCAUAGAGAGGUUUUUAUUCUCUAUUUUGGUUAGGCCAGGGUGUGACUAGGGUGAGUAUUCUAGUUUCUUUAUUUCUAUGUUUUCUGUUUCUAUGUUUUGGCCGGGUAUGGUUCUCAAUGUACGCUCAACACGCUGCACCUUGGUCCGGUCAUUUCCACCCUGACGACGGUCGUGACAAGUGUACAAUUCCUUCCAUCAUGUAAAGAGAAACCACCUUCAAUACCUACUUGAUUGCACACGACCAGAUGAACAGCCAUCGGAGGAAAGCCAAGCACCACCGGAACAAGACAACAUUCAACCCGAUCAUCUUCUAGCUAACUCCAGCAUCACUGAUCAGCAACUCCAUACAUCUGACUCAGAUGAAGGGCAAAGGGGCAUUGACCAACGUGGAUCUGUCACAGUGCAACAAAAAGGCGUGAAUGACAUUGUUGCUGGGGUACAGCAGUAUCAAUCAUCACUAUUGGACAACCUCAGGAAGCAGAUGGAGGCAGUGCUAAAGAAGCAUUCAGGAGGCACAUCAGGGCAACUUGAAAAAGAUGCAAUGGAUAUAUUUGACAAUUUCAUUGGGCCUUUUGCUGACGCUGCAACAACAUUUAGACAGGACAGUGUUAUUAAGAAGCAGUUUAGCGGUUUGGAUGCAGAGGUAAUUCACAUUGUUCGAACCAUAUACAGGAUGAAAUGUGGAGGAUCAAAAGACAUUUUCAUCAAAGACAAAUUAUUUUAUCAUGUACCAUUAGUCAAAAGUCUAGAACAGUUCUUAUCACAACCAAGGAUUUAGUCUAUGGUUGGAAAUGGACCCCAGAUGUGCAGGGAAAGGUUUAUUCAUGACAUUGUUGAUGGUGCUCUUCUAAAAUCACAUCCCUUAAUUUCAGAGAAACCAAAUGCAUUGCAGAUUGUUCUGUACAUGGAUGAAAUAGAGAUCUGUAAUCCACUAGGAUCCUUAGCAUCAAAAAACAAGUUGUUAAUGGUGUACUACACCCUAGGAAAUAUAAAUCCAAAAUACAGGUCUAAACUGGCUGCUAUCAGGCUACUUGCCAUGGCAAGAUCAGCAGACCUCCGUCAAUCUGGUGUAGAUGUAAUAUUGAAUAGAAUCAAGGAAGACAUGGAUGCAUUGUACAGUGGGGUUAAAAUGCUAACUAUUAAUGUAGAGCAAACGAUAUCUGGUCUCUCUCUCUGGAGACACCCUGGCACAACAUGAACUAGCAGGGUGUAAAGAGGGUGUGGGCUUUGCCUACAGUAAGUGCAGACACUGAGUGUUCUUUUGAGGACAUGCAGUCACACUUCAAUGAAGAUGCAUAUACUAACAGGACAUUGGAGAAGCAUGUCAGACAGUGUGAGGAAAUAGAAAAGGCACAGACUGACUUGCUUCGCAACAACCUUGAGAACAAGAUAUGGGAUGAAUAGACGGAGCAAGUUAGUUAAAUUCUCAGCCUUUGAUAUCAUGCAACAAACUCCGCAAGACAUUAUGCAUGUAAUUCUGGAGGGCAUAGCCCCAUUGGAAAUCAAAUGUGUUUUGAAUCAUCUUGUUGUGUCAGGACAGAUUGAUCUGGACUCAGUGAAUUCUGCUGUUCUUGGUUUCCCUUAUUCCCCUCUAGAUGGUAGAGAUCGGGCCAUCCCCAAUUUCUGUUAGUACAUUAACGUCAAGUGAUGGUAAACUAAAACAGUCAUCUGGGCAAAUGCUUGUCCUGCUAAGGAUAUUGCCAUUUGUUUUGGAGAGUUUGGAAGUCAAUGCAUAUAUACGACUGACAAUUGAGCUAAUAGAGAUUGUACAGAUAGUAUUUGUUCUUUCCAUUGUGACUGUGUCUAGGUUGAAGUUACUCAUUGAAAAUAAUUUGAAGCAUUGGAAGGAGCUUUUUCCAGACCGCAGUGUUACACCUAAACAGCAUUAUAUGAUACAUUUGCCAUCACAGAUAAAGUCAUUGGGUCCAAUGGUCAGACAUAUUUGUAUGUGUCUAAACAUUGUUUCUUUAAACAAUGGGCUUCCAAGCUCAAUUUAAAAAAAAAUAUUUGUCGAUCUUUGACCAAUCAGAACCAAAUAUAUGAAAGCUGCCAAAAUGUAGACAGUUCAAUGCACCCAAUUGUUUCAAAUGAAAGGGAGAUGGGACCUGUAUCAGAGGUUAAAGAUCUACAAUAUUUGUGGAAAAUUGAGGGACUUCCUAGGUUUCAAUGAAGUAAACCAUGCUGUAUCCGUCAAAUGGCUUGUAAUUAAUACAACUCAGAAGUCCAUGAUCUAUACUGAAUGAUAAUAUGCCAAUAUGACUGGUUAAAAACAUAUUUCUUGUUGAUUCUAGGCUUUAUUGUUUGCAAUAUCAACCAUUUCAAAAUAUACGCUUUGAUAGAAGCAUCAUGGCUUAUCAAGUUGAGGUCCCACACUUUGCACAGGCCACUGAGUUAGUGGAUGCUGAAAAGCUGGUUGAUUUUACCUCAAUAUUACACAAUUAGAAACAAGAGCCAAACUUAUGUACAAGUCAAAUACCGUCUUGGGGAAGUAAUAGAAUUGUACAACAGUUCAAAUGACUCAGUGUGUUCCCCAGAUAUCAAUAGUGUACUGUCUUUGUUCUGUACUGUAUUUUGUCUACAUGAUUGCUGUGCUGUGUGUAAGAUUGACAAUAAAAUAGUGAAUUCCAUUUGGUCAUUACCUGUUCUUAAUAUGUGAAGAGAUGAAAAAGAUAAGAUGCUUGAAAUAAGAAAUUCUGACUUUGACAAAGCAGUUUUGGACUUGUCAGUGUUGAUCAAACGCCUUUAUAAUUCUGUUAAUUAAAGUUUCGAGCAUUAGGUUACUCAGAACCAGUAACACAAUCGCAGUAACAAGUUAAAUAAUCUUAUUAAGAUAAUUAAGCACAAAAAAGCUUGAAACAAGUGAAAUGCUCCAACAUAAAAACUGUCUGAUAAGAAGAAACAUCUUGUCAGACCAAAAACAAGCAUAUAUUGCUUUGAUUUAAGAUAUUUAAUCUUACUUAGAUUUCAAUUUUUGCAGUGCAAACCCGGAUUAACAUCAACUGUUCAGAGGAGACUGUGAAUCAGGCCUUCGUGGUCGAAUUGCUGCAAAGAAACCACUACUAAAGGACACCAAUAAUAAGAAGAGACUUGCUUGGGCCAAGAAACACGAGCAAUGGACAUUAUACCGGUGGAAAUCUGUCCUUUGGUCUGAUUAGUCCAAAUUUCAGGUUUUGGUUCCAACCGCCGUGUCUUUGUGAGACGCGGAGUAGGUGAACGGAUGAUCUCUGCAUGUUUGGUUCCCACCGUGAAGCAUGGAUGAGGAGGUGUGAUGGUUGUUACCAACAAGUGAGGUCUCGAACUAAAAGCCACAGUAGAUGAACAAAUUUAACGCUGGCUACUAUAUGGAGACAAACAAACAUUUUUUAAUGAGCUGUGAAAAAAAGUGAACUAUUUCCCAAUGCUCAUUAGACUGGCCCAAGCCAACCCCAGUGAAUAGGCCAUGUUGUAUAUGGUACAUUCUACUCUCUCUUUCUUCUUGUGUGUAGGAGCUACCACUGUACUGUUCAGGGGGCCUGCGCUUCUUCUGGGACAACAAGUUUGACCAUGCCAUGGUGGCCUUCCUGGACUGUGUGCAGCAGUUCAAGGAGGAGGUGGAGAAGGGAGACAUGGGAUUCUGCCUCCCCUACAGGAUGGAUGUCAAGAAGGGCAAGAUUGAGGACACGGGAGGCAGCGGCGGCUCCUACUCCAUCAAGACCCAGUUCAACUCGGAGGAGCAGUGGUCCAAGGCGCUCAAGUUCAUGUUGACCAACCUCAAGUGGGGUCUGGCGUGGGUGUCGUCUCAGUUUUACAACCGAUAGAGGAAGAUGAGGACUCACCCUGGGUGUGCCCCUUGACCCUUCUAAAACCACAAUUUCAUCACAAUGUGUGACUCUGUAAAGUAGUUCUUCUUCAAUGCUCUCCUUGCUUCCCUAUGAUGUUUUGAGAGGGUGGGGAGAAGACUGGAGGAAGGACGUUUGAGAUUCACCACUGGUGUGAGUUCCAAUCCAAUAAGUCUUGUUUCCUUGUUUGAUUUCCAUAUUGACAAUUUGAAAGGAUAAGAUAAAAACUGUUAAAUUGUACACAUUCAAGUCCACCUAGACUCGUAGGUGUUUUGAAGGGAGCUAUCUGAGACUGUUGGAGCACAAUCCAGGGUUGAGUCCUAAUAGUAGCUAAGUGACUUCUGGUUGUGUCUUUUCCAUCAUAUGCACAUAUCUUAUGACACUGGAUAGGUGAAAGCUGUUUUUUCCAAUUGACCUGUUCAAUUCUUAAAGAUCAGUACACAUGAAGGGAAGGAGAGAAGGACACGUUGAACUACUGAGAUGCAGCACUGGAAUGGGUUCUUAUGUAUCACAUGCUUCUUACUUUGCUCCAGAAGCAAAUCUAGUCACGAAUCUGGUUUUCUGCCUAUUUUUCUUCAACUGGUUUGUAUCUUAGUGGUUCAACUCCACUCUAGCCACGGAAUACUGUACAUUUAUUAUGUUUUAAUAGUUUUUCUUUUACUGUGUUGACAAGGUAAAGAUGGUUUAAUUUCACCAUGCGUUGGAACAGCAUUGGAACGUUUGCCUUGUCUGUUCUCUUGUCUCCCCACUCGCAGGGCGCUCGAAGUGUCUACCGAAAGCUUUGGCAUCGGGAUUAUGCUGUGCUUUUGUUCAUUGGCAAAAUCAACAAGGCAAUCCUUUUACUACAAGUGACUUCUUGGUGUAUAUUUAAAUGUAGACAAGGAGGCUUGUGGCAGUAUUUAAUGCCCGUAUCACUGUACGAUUUGGUUUUUCAGGUUCAUUACACAAAUGAACAUGCCAAUAACGGACCCACACAGAACGCCUUACGUAAAAGGAUAUUUCCAAUUCUAACAUUUGUAUAAAAAAGGUCAUCAAAAUGUAGAGACAGAUAGAUUGAUUACGUAAGUAUUCAACCUCCUGAGUCAAUACAUGUUAAAAUCACGUUUGGCAGCGAUUUGCAGCUGAGAGUCUUUCUGGGUAAGUCUCUAAAUGCUUUGCACACCAGGAUUGCAUGUUAGCCUUCAAGCUCUGUCAAGUUGGUUGUUGAUCAUUGCUACAAAGCCAUUUAAGUCUUGCCAUAGAAUUUCAAGCCAAUUUAAGUCAAAACUAACUGGGGUGCUCUUGAACAUUCAAUGUUGUCUUGGUAAGCAACUCCAGUGUAUAUUUGGCCUUGUGUUUUAAGUUAUAGUCCUGGUAAAAGUUGAAUAUCUCAGUGUCUAAAGCAGACUGAACCAGGUUAUCCUCUAGGAUUUUGCCAGUACUUAGCGCUAUUCUGUUUAUUUUCAUCAUAAACAUCCUUGCCGAUGACAGGCAUGUAGCCACCACCAUGCUUGAAAAUUUGAAGAGUGGUACUCAAGUUAUUUGUUGUUGGAUUUGCUCCAAAUAUAACGCUUUGUAUUCAGGACAUAAAGUUAAGUUCAUUACUUGUGCCUUAAUUGCAAACAGGA